GUUGCUUCAUAUGGUGAACUCUCUCUUGGUAAAUGAGAAGUGUUCUAGUUUCCGAAGCAUAAAUUAAAAACAAAAUGCCAGUUUUAAACAGCACGAUGAAUGGAUUAAUCAAUUAGUCUCCUUUACUUUCAUCGCGUUACCUGUCAGCUGGUACAUUU
rfam:Spinacia oleracea cultivar SynViroflay scaffold6601.con0004.1, whole genome shotgun sequence.